rnacentral:rRNA from 1 species
UACGUAGGGGGCUAGCGUUGUCCGGAAUCAUUGGGCGUAAAGCGCGUGUAGGCGGCCCGGUAAGUCCGCUGUGAAAGCCCGGGGCUCAACCCCGGGUCGGCCGCGGGUACUGCCGGGCUGGAGUGCCGUAGGGGCAGGCGGAAUUCCGGGUGUAGCGGUGGAAUGCGUAGAGAUCCGGAAGAACACCGGUGGCGAAGGCGGCCUGCUGGGCGGCGACUGACGCUGAGGCGCGACAGCGUGGGGAGCAAACAGG